AACUGCAGAAGAAAACUCAUAUACAUUCGAGACAGAACGAUUAACAUUCCAUGCUAAUACAAACAAUUUUUAGUUUAUUACGACAUAAACAAUUUCGAUCCAACUAGUACAACUUUAAGCAAAGGUCUUAAUAACAUUAAGGAGUCAGACAUUCUGAUACAUAAACCAGAAAACUAAAUCAAAUGAUCUCAUGCUUCAAUUACAGGUUCAUUCUUCGCAUUUCAGUUCACAAUUACCCAAGAUCAAGCUGUGUACCUGGUAAUCAAUUACAAUGGAAGAAGAAGAGGUCAGCCACAACAAUGCAACAGUAUUAGCAACAAACAAUAACACCAGCAGGCUGACAAUCAACAGCAACAAACAGAGCCAAGUUCAAGACCAAACCACAGUCACAAAGCCCAAGAAGAAAGAAGCUUAACCAAAACACUGAAUCUACUAGAAAUUAGACUAGGCAGUCAUAGGACAUAUUUCAGCAAUCAAAUAAUACCCAGCACCCUCGAGUAUAUCACCAAAUAUCUUCAAAUGCCCUGAACACCCAAGCACAGAACAGAAACAAAGAGAUUUGAACUAUUUAUGUUCUUGAAAUCAAUGUAACAGUGUGAGCUGAUUGUCUAAAGAAAUCUCUCAAACUCUUAAGGUUUCAAAGUGUAGAAGAAUUCAGCUUUAAAAGCUCAAAACUGAUCCUCAAACUCUCCCUAUGAGUUCUAGUUCUCAGAAACUGAUUCAAGGCUCCGUCAGAACUGAUUUUUAAGACUUAUGUUUUCACCCCAGGUCUGAAAAACUCUCCUCUUAUUUCUUUUGAACUUCUAUAUCUCUCCGUUCUCAAUCUCUAUCAGAAUCCCAUUUCAUUCUAAGGUCUGCCCUGUAUUUUAUACCUUAAAACAGACCCCUUUUCCAGCCUGUUUUAACACUUAGAUCAUUAAGAAAUGUAUUUGUUCCAUCAUAUUCCCUGACAGCCACUACUAAGUGUCUAAUUUCAUUAUUUAAUUCAAAGGUGUAUGGACAACCUGAAUUUAAAACUCAGACGUUUCCUGACAACCAGAAUGGGCUUCCACUUGAUUUUAACAGUUUCACUUCAGUGAUUUACCCUUAACUUUAUUAACUAAUGAUUCCUAAACCGACUAACAAGCAUGAUACAUAUUCAAACAACAACUAAAACAAACAAAUUCACAAAACUCAACUGAUUAACCAAUUCAGUGUUUUAUUCCAACAACAAAAAAAACAAGACAACAAUGAAUCGCCCAUAAGAUUGUUUAACAAUACGCACGAGCAUGGGAUGAACAAGUUCUAUUAAGUUGAAAUGAACCAGUUUGACUGACUAAACUAUUAAACAAGGCAGGGUUUCACACAACUGACUAUACAGACUUGUGAGACCAAGAACAGAUUCCCCAAAUAUUAUGACAAACAAAACAGCGAAUUGGCAACAGAAUAAACAAAAUGCCAAACGUUUGUUCUUGAUAAACAAAAUGGUCGAAUAAACAAAAUGCCAAAACAGAGGACUGGUCGAGUUUCAAUCCGAAAAUGACCAGAGGAAAGAAAAAGAGACGGGGAAAGAUUGACAACAGAAUAAACAAAACUAGGAAAUAAACUCACCGGCCAGGAUCGAACUGGGAAAUGACAUGCUGAGUCAACACAACAUAAUGCCAAACAUUUGAUCUUGUUGGAGAACAAACGUGCAUCAUUAUUUUAUGCUGAAACAGACUUGAAUAAACCAAGAAAUCCAAACGAAUGACUCCCUUGCACACUGGUCCCAAUUUAGGGUUCUAAAGCUUGAACUUAGAUUUGAUAUUCGACGAACUUUGGUCUGAUUCGAAAGGAAUCCAUGAUGAAUUUGUUAUGAAGGAUUCAUGGGGGGUAUGUGGUGUUGAUGUGGGGUCGAUUUUAGAUGAACUAGGGUUUGGGUCGAUUUCUUUGAUCUAAGAUUCGAGGGGCUCGUGGGUGAUUCGAAGAAAAAUGAGCGUGGAUUCGGAGAGGGGAUGGUUUGGUGGUUCAGAGGUGUGAGUUUCAUGGUCACCGACAUCGUUUUCGCCGGCUUUCAGGUGAAGGGGUAUGAGGGCGGCUAGGGUUUGGUUGGGGGUCGUUUUAGUCUCUGAUUUGGAGACGAAAGGGUGAAAAUGAGGUG
rnacentral:lncRNA from 1 species